CGGCUGAUCGCAGUCCGGAGGUGAGGCAGAACUCUGAGGUGGUCCAUUAUGGCUGACAUGCAAAAUCUGGUAGAAAGAUUGGAGGGGGCAGUGGGCCGCCUGGAGGCAGUAUCUCAUACCUCUGACAUGCACCGUGGGUAUGCAGACAGUUCUUCAAAAGUAGGAGCAGCUCCAUAUGUGCAGGCAUUUGACUCGCUGCUUGCUGGUCCUGUGGCAGAGUACUUGAAGAUCAGUAAAGAGAUUGGGGGAGACAUGCAGAAACAUGCGGAGAUGGUCCACACAGGUUUGAAGUUGGAGCGAGCUCUGUUGGUUACAGCUUCUCAGUGUCAACAACCAGCAGAUAAUAAGCUUUCUGACCUGUUGGCACCCAUCUCAGAGCAGAUCAAAGAAGUGAUAACCUUUCGGGAGAAGAACUGAGGCAGCAAGUUGUUUAAUCACCUGUCAGCUGUCAGCGAAAGUAUCCAGGCCCUGGGCUGGGUGGCUAUGGCUCCCAAGCCUGGCCCUUAUGUGAAAUAAAUGAAUGAUCUGCCAUGUUUUAUACAAACCGAGUCCUCAAAGAGUACAAAGAUGUGGAUAAGAAGCAUGUAGACUGGGUCAAAGCUUAUUUAAGUAUAUGGACAGAGCUGCAGGCUUGCAUUAAGGAGUUCCAUACCACCAGACUGGCCUGGGGCAAAACGGGGCCUGUGGGAAAAGAACUGAGUGGACUGCCAUCUGGACCCUCUGCCGGAUCAGGUCCUCCUCCCCCUCCACCAGGAUCCCCUCCUCCCCCAGUCUCUACCAGUUCAGGCUCAGAUGAGUCCGCUUCCCACUCAGCACUGUUUGUGCAGAUUAACCAGGGGGAGAGCAUCACACAUGCCCUGAAACAUUAUCUGAUGACAUGAAGACUCACAAGAACCCUGCCCUGAAGGCUCAGAGUGGUCCACUACGCAGUGGCCCCAAGCCAUUCUCUGCACCUAAACCCCAAACCAGCCCAUCCCCCAAACCAGCCACAAAGAAGGAGCCAGCUAUACUUGAACUGGAGGGCAAGAAGUGGAGAGUGGAAAAUCAGGAAAAUGUUUCCAACCUGGUGAUUGAGGACACAGAGCUGAAACAGGUGGCUUACAUAUACAAGUGUGUCAACACGACAUUGCAAAUCAAGGGCAAAAUUAGCUCCAUUACAGUAGACAACCGUAAGAAACUUGGUCUGGUAUUCAAUGACGUGGUAUUGUGGAGAUAAUCAACAGUGGGGAUGUCAAAGUUCGGGUAAAGGGGAAAGUGCCAACCAUAUCCAUCGACAAAACAGAUGGCUGCCAUGCUUACCUGAGCAAGAAUUCCCUGGAUUGUGAAAUAGUCAGUGCCAAAUCUCCCGAGACGAACGUCCUUAUUCCUACAGAAGGCAGUGACUUUAAUGAAUUCCCAGUUUCUGAGCAGUUCAAGACCCUUUGGAAUGGGCAGAAGUUGGUCACCACAGUGACAGAAAUUGCUGGACAAGCGAAGUGCCACUGGGUUCUUUGCCCUCCCUUCACACCAUGGGAUAAAUCUGUAUCAAGACGGUUCUUUUCUAGAUUUCCUCUACCUUUUUGCUCUUAA